GACGAACGCUGGCGGCGUGCUUAACACAUGCAAGUCGAACGGAAAGGCCUCUUUCGGGGGGUACUCGAGUGGCGAACGGGUGAGUAACACGUGAGUAACCUGCCCUUGACUUUGGGAUAACUUCAGGAAACUGGGGCUAAUACCGGAUAGGAGCUCCUGCUGCAGGGUGGGGGUUGGAAAGUUUCGGCGGUUGGGGAUGGACUCGCGGCUUAUCAGCUUGUUGGUGGGGUAGUGGCUUACCAAGGCUUUGACGGGUAGCCGGCCUGAGAGGGUGACCGGCCACAUUGGGACUGAGAUACGGCCCAGACUCCUACUGGAGGCAGCAGUGGGGAAUAUUGCACAAUGGGUGGAAGCCUGAUGCAGCAACGCCGUGUGCGGGAUGACGGCCUUCGGGUUGUAAACCGCUUUCGCUCAUGACGAAGCUUUGUGUGACGGUAGUGGGUAAAGAAGCACCGGCUAACUACGUG
rnacentral:rRNA from 1 species